AGAGUUGAUCAUGGCUCAGGACGAACGCUGGCGGCGUGCCUAAUACAUGCAAGUCGAGCGAGCGGAACUAACAGAUUUACUUCGGUAAUGACGUUAGGAAAGCGAGCGGCGGAUGGGUGAGUAACACGUGGGGAACCUGCCCCAUAGUCUGGGAUACCACUUGGAAACAGGUGCUAAUACCGGAUAAGAAAGCAGAUCGCAUGAUCAGCUUUUAAAAGGCGGCGUAAGCUGUCGCUAUGGGAUGGCCCCGCGGUGCAUUAGCUAGUUGGUAAGGUAAAGGCUUACCAAGGCGAUGAUGCAUAGCCGAGUUGGGAGACUGAUCGGCCACAUUGGGACUGAGACACGGCCCAAACUCCUACGGGAGGCAGCAGUAGGGAAUCUUCCACAAUGGACGCAAGUCUGAUGGAGCAACGCCGCGUGAGUGAAGAAGGUUUUCGGAUCGUAAAGCUCUGUUGUUGGUGAAGAAGGAUAGAGGUAGUAACUGGCCUUUAUUUGACGGUAAUCAACCAGAAAGUCACGGCUAACUACGUGCCAGCAGCCGCGGUAAUACGUAGGUGGCAAGCGUUGUCCGGAUUUAUUGGGCGUAAAGCGAGCGCAGGCGGAAGAAUAAGUCUGAUGUGAAAGCCCUCGGCUUAACCGAGGAACUGCAUCGGAAACUGUUUUUCUUGAGUGCAGAAGAGGAGAGUGGAACUCCAUGUGUAGCGGUGGAAUGCGUAGAUAUAUGGAAGAACACCAGUGGCGAAGGCGGCUCUCUGGUCUGCAACUGACGCUGAGGCUCGAAAGCAUGGGUAGCGAACAGGAUUAGAUACCCUGGUAGUCC
rnacentral:rRNA from 1 species